rnacentral:rRNA from 1 species
GUGGAUUAGAUACCCUGGUAGUCCACACCGUAAACGUUGGGCGCUAGGUGUGGGAUCCAUUCCACGGGUUCCGUGCCGCAGCUAACGCAUUAAGCGCCCCGCCUGGGGAGUACGGCCGCAAGGCUAAAACUCAAAGGAAUUGACGGGGGCCCGCACAAGCGGCGGAGCAUGCGGAUUAAUUCGAUGCAACGCGAAGAACCUUACCUGGGUUUGACAUACGCCGGAAGCUCCCAGAGAUGGGAGUCUCUUUGAUACCGGUGUACAGGUGGUGCACGGUCGUCGACAACU